rnacentral:rRNA from 1 species
GAUGAACGCUGGCGGCGUGCCUAAUACAUGCAAGUCGAGCGAAUGGAUUAAGAGCUUGCUCUUAUGAAGUUAGCGGCGGACGGGUGAGUAACACGUGGGUAACCUGCCCAUAAGACUGGGAUACCUCCGGGAAACCGGGGCUAAUACCGGAUAACAUGUUGAACCGCAUGGUUCGAAAUUGAAAGGCGGCUUCGGCUGUCCCUUAUGGAUUGACCCGCGUCGGAUUAGUUAGUUGGUGAGGUAGCGGCUCACCAAGGCAACGAUGCGUAGCCGACCUGGGAGGGUGGUCGGCCACACUGGGACUGAGACACGGCCCAGACUCCUACGGGAGGCAGCAGUAGGGAAUCUUCCGCAAUGGACGAAAGUCUGACGGAGCAACGCCGCGUGAGUGAUGAAGGCUUUCGGGUCGUAAAACUCUGUUGUUAGGGAAGAACAAGUGCUAGUUGAAUAAGCUGGCACCUUGACGGUACCUAACCAGAAAGCCACGGCUAACUACGUGCCAGCCGCCGCGGUAA